rnacentral:rRNA from 1 species
GGACCCGCACAAGUAGUGGAGCAUGUGGUUUAAUUCGAAGAUACGCGCAGAACCUUACCAACACUUGACAUGUUCGUCGCGACUUUAAGAGAUUAAAGUUUUCGGUUCGGCCGGACGAAACACAGGUGCUGCAUGGCUGUCGUCAGCUCGUGUCGUGAGAUGUUGGUUAAGUCCCGCAACGAGCGCAACCCUCACUUUUAGUUGCCAUCAUUUAGUUGGGCACUCUGAAAGAACUGCCAGUGAUAAGCUGGAGGAAGGUGGGGAUGACGUCAAGUCCUCAUGGCCCUUACGUGUUGGGCUACACACGUGCUACAAUGGUACGGACAAAGGGCAGCAAGUUCGCGAGGACAAG